UGGGGAAUAUUGCACAAUGGGCGCAAGCCUGAUGCAGCCAUGCCGCGUGUGUGAAGAAGGCCUUCGGGUUGUAAAGCACUUUCAGCGAGGAGGAAGGUGGUGAGCUUAAUACGCUCAUCAAUUGACGUUACUCGCAGAAGAAGCACCGGCUAACUCCGUGCCAGCAGCCGCGGUAAUACGGAGGGUGCAAGCGUUAAUCGGAAUUACUGGGCGUAAAGCGCACGCAGGCGGUUUGUUAAGUCAGAUGUGAAAUCCCCGGGCUCAACCUGGGAACUGCAUUUGAAACUGGCAAGCUAGAGUCUCGUAGAGGGGGGUAGAAUUCCAGGUGUAGCGGUGAAAUGCGUAGAGAUCUGGAGGAAUACCGGUGGCGAAGGCGGCCCCCUGGACGAAGACUGACGCUCAGGUGCGAAAGCGUGGGGCAGCAAACAGGAUUAGAUACCCCUGGUAGUCCAGCGCUGUAAACGAUGUCGAUUUUGGAGGUUGUGCCCCUUGAGGCGUGGCUUCCGGAGCUAACGCGUUAAAUCGACCGCCUGGGGAGUACGGCCGCAAGGUUAAAACUCAAAUGAAUUGACGGGGUCU
rnacentral:rRNA from 1 species